UGCAACUUUAGAACGUCUCUAUCACUCCA
rnacentral:piRNA from 1 species